rnacentral:rRNA from 1 species
AUGAACGCUGGCGGCGUGCCUCAUACAUGCAAGUCGAGCGAACAGACGAGGAGCUUGCUCCUCUGACGUUAGCGGCGGACGGGUGAGUAACACGUGGAUAACCUACCUAUAAGACUGGGAUAACUUCGGGAAACCGGAGCUAAUACCGGAUAAUAUAUUGAACCGCAUGGUUCAAUAGUGAAAGACGGUUUUGCUGUCACUUAUAGAUGGAUCCGCGCCGCAUUAGCUAGUUGGUAAGGUAACGGCUUACCAAGGCAACGAUGCGUAGCCGACCUGAGAGGGGGAUCGGCCACACUGGAACGGAGACACGGUCCAGACUCCUACGGGAGGCAGCAGUAGGGAAUCUUCCGCAAUGGGCGAAAGCCUGACGGAGCAACGCCGCGUGAGUGAUGAAGGUCUUCGGAUCGUAAAACUCUGUUAUUAGGGAAGAACAAAUGUGUAAGUAACUAUGCACGUCUUGACGGUACCUAAUCAGAAAGCCACGGCUAACUACGUG